AGCCAGACCUCCCGGGAGCUGAAGGAAAGCCUUCGGGUGGUAAACCGCUUUUGUCAGGGAAGAAAUCUUCUGGGCUAAUACCUCGGGAGGAUGACGGUACCUGAAGAAUAAGCACCGGCUAACUACGUGCCAGCAGCCGCGGUAAUACGUAGGGUGCGAGCGUUAAUCGGAAUUACUGGGCGUAAAGCGUGCGCAGGCGGUCUUGCAAGACAGGUGUGAAAUCCCCGGGCUUAACCUGGGAACUGCACUUGUGACUGCAAGGCUGGAGUACGGCAGAGGGGGAUGGAAUUCCGCGUGUAGCAGUGAAAUGCGUAGAUAUGCGGAGGAACACCGAUGGCGAAGGCAAUCCCCUGGGCCUGUACUGACGCUCAUGCACGAAAGCGUGGGGAGCAAACAGGAUUAGAUACCCUGGUAGUCCACGCCCUAAACGAUGUCAACUGGUUGUUGGACGGCUUGCUGUUCAGUAACGAAGCUAACGCGUGAAGUUGACCGCCUGGGGAGUACGGCCGCAAGGUUGAAACUCAAA
rnacentral:rRNA from 1 species